AUUGGGUCCGACGGUUCCCCGGCCGUUGCUCCGAUUGCCACAGGCCGGCCAUCUCCCUUCUUUCCGGCAACGGCAAGGGAGAAGGCGGCGUCCUUUGCCUCCUCCUCUCACUCCUGUAGCGUGGAGUCAAUAAGAACUUUGCGGCCGGCGAGGGGUGGCAGUCCCGCGGAGGACGCGGGGCGCCCGCCCGGCCAUGCGCGCCCCGCCCUCUGCCGGCGGCUUCAACUCGCCGUGGACGCUCGCCAUUCGCGCGGCGGCAGACCAAGGCCGGCCCCGCCGCGCCAUCGCUCUGUACCUCGCGUCCCUACGCUCGUCCUGCCGCCCCUGCCCCUUCGCACUCGCCGCCGUCCUCAAGUCUGUGCCCCGCCUUCCCGAGCACGCCGUUCUCCCCGCGGCGGCCUCCCUCCACGCGCACCUCCUCCGCCUCGGCCUCCUCUCCCACCCCUAUCCGCACGCCGCGCUCUCUCACCUCUACUCCCACCUCCUCCCCCCGCACCACAACCACGCCCGUGGCCUGCUUGAUGACGCGCCAACGCCGCUGAACCGCCACUCCCUCGUCUCGUCCAAUUCGCUCCUCGCUUCCCUCCUACGCGCGGGUGAUAUCCCUGCCGCGCGCGCCAUGUUCGAAGCAAUGCCCGCGCGGGACGUUGUGUCGUGGAACUCCAUGGUUGCUGGACUCGCCAAGGCCGGACACCUGGACGAGGCCAUCGAGAUGUUCGACCAAAUGCCCGAGACGAACGUCGCAUCCUGGAACGCCCUCGUGUCCGGAUUCAUGGCACAAGGCCACCUAGCCCAAGCGCAGGAGCUGUUUGAGCGGAUGCCCACCAGGAACAACGUUUCCUGGAUCACGAUGAUCUCAGGGUACGCCAAGGCCGGUGACGUCCAAGCUGCUGCUAACCUGUUUGAUAGGAUGGGCAGUAAGGACCUUUAUGCAUGGAAUGCGAUGAUCUCAUGCUAUGCACAAAAUGGCUGCGCAAGGGAGGCACUUGGCAUUUUUAACAGAAUGUUGAAGCCACAUAUUUGGGUGGUACCCAAUGAGAAGACUUUUUCCUCUGUGAUCUCGGCAUGUUCACAGCUGGGGGACUUAAGGUUCGGCUUGUGGGUUGAGAAUUUCAUGGGCUAUGUGGGGGUUGAUCUGGAUGAUCACUUGCGUACAGCUCUGGUUGAUUUGUACACCAAGAGUGGGCGAAUGGAUAGGGCUUUUGAUUUGUUCAGAGGAUUGAGAUCAAGGGAUGUGGUGUCUUACAGCGCAAUGAUAGUGGGCUGUGGAAUGCAUGGCAAGUUAAAUGAAGCUGUUGGCUUGUUCAAGGAGAUGUCCAAAGCAAGGAUUGAUCCUAAUGCGGUGACCUUUGUGGGGUUGCUAUCUGCAUACAGUCACGCGGGACUGCUGGAAGAAGCUCGUGCUUGUUUCACUUCCAUGACAAGCAGAUACAGAAUUAAUCCUUCAAUGGAACACUACACUAUUAUGGUAGACAUUCUUGGGCGCUGUGGAAAGUUGGAAGAAGCAUUCCAGCUGGUCAUGCAGAUACCUGUAUGCCCAGAUGCCAGUGUUUGGGGUGCCUUGCUUCUUGCUUGCAGGUUGCACAACAACAUUGAGCUUGGGGAAGUUGUUGCUUCCAAGUGCUUUGAACUGGAGCCACAAGAGAGUGGAUAUUACAUUCUCUUGGGUAACAUAUAUGCGCAAGCAAAGAAGUGGGACAAGGUUAAGGGUUUGAGGAAGAUGAUGGCAGAAAGGGGUUUGAGUAAGACACCCGGGAGUAGCUGGGUGCAUGUUGCAUGAAUCCAUUCUAUUGAUCUUGCUCAUUUUAUCAUUUGGGUCAGUUACUCAGAUGACAUAUUAGCAUGCAACUCAGAUUUUGGGCACUAAAUUUGGGAAGAUGAGGAAUGUCAGCGUUGGGGAACUAAGACGCGCUCAAGGAUCCCCAUCCAGGAGAUUGACUUUAGGGUCCACAGUAGAAGAGUCAUCGCUCUCGGGACUUUAUGAAUAGGGAGCCGCCCUUAACUCAAGAAAUGGAAGACUUCGAGACUAACUAUGCCUUAUACAAGGGUACCUCUAGCUUAGCCUGCUAGGCCACAUGACGUGGCGUACAAAAGUAAGCCCCAGGGCCCCUCGUGCCUCGGGCUGCAUGCCGGUCUAACCCCUAGGGCUCCCUACGCACUGGGGCACUUGACAAAUAAAGCCCUCAGGGUCACUUGCGUCCCGAGACACUCGACAAUAUAUGCUCUCGAUGCCCCCUGUGUCCGGGGCAUCUAGCAAUAUGAGCCUUUACGACACCUCAUGACCUGGGGCAUCUAAUGUAUAAGCCUCCGAGGCCCCUCGCGCUUCGGGGCAACUAGUUGUAUAAGCCCUUGUGUUCCCUCACGACACAAGACAACUAGCGGUAUGAGCCCCUGGGGCCCCUCAUGUUAUGGGGCGUCUAGCAGUAUGAGCCCUCGAGCCCCCUCGUGAGGGAGCCCAUACUUCUAGAUGCCCCGAGAGCCCAUACUUCUAGAUGUCUCAGGGCACGAGGGGCCUCGAGGGUUUAUAUCAUUAUACGCCCUGGGGUACGAGGGGCCUCGGGGCUUUAUACCAUUGGCCACCCUAGGGCGUAAGGGGCCAUGGGGGUUCAUACUGCUAGGUGCCCUGGUGCACCGGGAGCAUAUAAUGUCGAGUGUCUCAGGGCACGAGUGGCCCUAAAGACUUAAUUUGUUGGGUGCCUCGUUGUGUAAGGAGCCCCGGGGUUAGACAGGCAUGCAUCCUAGGGCGCGAGGGGUUGUGGUGCUUACUUAUGUACGCCACGCCAUGUGGCCUCACAGGCUAAGCUAGUGAUACCCUUGUAUAAGUCGUAGUCAGUGUCGAAGUCUUCCAUUUAGGGGUCGUGGUGCUUACUUAUGUACGCCACGCCAUGUGGCCUCACAGGCUAAGCUAGUGAUACCCUUGUAUAAGUCGUAGUCAGUGUCGAAGUCUUCCAUUUCUUGAGAUCAGGAGAGGUCCCGAGAGCGGUGACUUCCAUCAUGGACCUUGAAGCAGUCUUCUGGACAGGGAUUAUUGAGCGCGUCAUGGUAGCAGUCGAGGGUAUGUUCUUUCUGUGGGGAAAGAUACGCUGUUCUUGUGUGUUACAUGCAAGGGGAGUGGGUGAUGCACGAUGACACAUCUUGGUGGUAAUGCAUCCACCGCCAGCAUAGACAAUGAUGUGCUGGACAGAAGCAGAAACUUUUACGAGAGAAGAAGGGAAGGCAAGAAGAUGGUAGCGGUAGCUAUUGUAACCCAGUAAGUAAGCAAAAAGAAAAGCCUGGCUGGCCUGCAUUCCCUCCCUGACGCUUCUGAAAACCAGAGAUGAAAGGCUGCAGUUAUGUUCUGUCGUCUGUUUGAGUUCGUCAUUAGCCUGUUGUUCUGGAAUUCAUAAUUAGUGUGUGGUUCAUGUUUGCAUGAUUGUAACCCUAGAACAGCACAGCAUCUGCAGGCGUGAACCACAAACUUAUUACGAGCUCCAGGAUAGCACAGCUUAAAUUCAGUUAUUCUAAUCAUGUCUGCAGAUGCUGUACAUUUCCUUUCCUGCAUAGCGUAGUCAUGUUAACAUGUUAAACCGAACAAAUUUGCUCCUUCAACAAAAAAAGAGAGCAGAACAAAUUUCAUGA